GCGGUUAUGGUGAAGUGGUUAACACUCCUGAUUGUGGUCCAGGUACUCGUGGGUUCGAAUCCCACUAAUCGCC